rnacentral:pre_miRNA from 1 species
ACACAAAUCAUCUGGGGAUCUUGUUAAUGCAGUCUCAGUUCAGUGCAUCUGGGCUGGAGCCUGAGAUUCUGCAUCUCUAACAUGCUCCCAGGUGAUGUUGAU